rnacentral:tRNA from 1 species
GCCCUUGUAGCCUAAUGGAUAUGGCGUUUGCUUCCUAAGCAAAAGGUUGUGGGUUUCGAGUCCCACCUGGGGUA